UACGAAGGGGGCUAGCGUUGUUCGGAAUCACUGGGCGUAAAGCGCACGUAGGCGGAUUGUUAAGUCAGGGGUGAAAUGCCAGGGCUCAACCUUGGAACUGCCUUUGAUACUGGCAAUCUCGAGUCCGGGAGAGGUGAGUGGAACUGCGAGUGUAGAGGUGAAAUUCGUAGAUAUUCGCAAGAACACCAGUGGCGAAGGCGGCUCACUGGCCCGGAACUGACGCUGAGGUGCGAAAGCGUGGGGAG
rnacentral:rRNA from 1 species